CACGCCGUAAACGAUGAGCACUAGGUGUCGGGUUCGUGAGGACUCGGUGCCGCAGCUAACGCAUUAAGUGCUCCGCCUGGGGAGUACGCACGCAAGUGUGAAACUCAAAGGAAUUGACGGGGACCCGCACAAGCAGCGGAGCAUGUGGUUUAAUUCGAAGCAACGCGAAGAACCUUACCAGGGCUUGACAUCCCUCUGACGGAUCGGGUAAUUCUGAUCUUCUCUUCGGAGCAGAGGUGACAGGUGG
rnacentral:rRNA from 1 species